GGACACAUAGCUCAGCGGUAGAGCGCUUCGUUCACAUCGAAGAGGUCUCUGGUUCGAGCCCAGAUGUGUCCA
rnacentral:tRNA from 1 species